GCGCAGUAAAGCUCCUCUCCUCUGAAAAAGAGAAAAAAUAAAGAGGGAGCAGCGAAUAAACCACUUCCAAAAAAGGAAAGAAAGGAUUUGCCUACAGCUCAGAAGUGGGAGGCACGCCCCGCUCGAUGAUGCCUGGAAACCGGAUCUCGCCUUUUCGCAGCAUGCCGACUUAUUUACCCCUCCCAAUGCCGACCUUUUUACCGUGAUCUUUUUACCGGUUCGUCGAACCCACCGAGCUCUCAUUCAACGGGGCCGUUCUUUUGGUGACCGAUUGGUGGAUGGUGCACCACGCCGGGCAGCCAUUCCCUCCUGCCCGUUCCCACUGCCCUUGCCCG
rnacentral:lncRNA from 1 species